UACGUAGGGAGCGAGCGUUGUCCGGAUUCAUUGGGCGUAAAGAGCUCGUAGGCGGCUUGAUAAGUCGGGUGUGAAACCUCCAGGCUCAACCUGGAGUCGCCAUCCGAUACUGUCAUGGCUAGAGUCCGGUAGGGGCCCACGGAACUCCUGGUGUAGCGGUGAAAUGCGCAGAUAUCAGGAAGAACACCGAUGGCGAAGGCAGUGGGCUGGGCCGGUACUGACGCUGGAGGAGCGGAAAGGCCGUGGGGAGCGAACAGG
rnacentral:rRNA from 1 species